rnacentral:rRNA from 1 species
AGAGUUUGAUCAUGGCUCAGGACGAACGCUGGCGGCGUGCCUAAUACAUGCAAGUAGAACGCUGACUACUUUAGCUUGCUAGAGUAGAAGGAGUUGCGAACGGGUGAGUAACGCGUAGGUAACCUGCCUACUAGCGGGGGAUAACUAUUGGAAACGAUAGCUAAUACCGCAUAACAGUGUUUAACACAUGUUAGAUGCUUGAAAGAUGCAAAUGCAUCACUAGUAGAUGGACCUGCGUUGUAUUAGCUAGUUGGUGGGGUAACGGCCUACCAAGGCGACGAUACAUAGCCGACCUGAGAGGGUGAUCGGCCACACUGGGACUGUGACACGGCCCAGACUCCUGCGGGAGGCAGCAGUAGGGAAUCUUCGGCAAUGGGGGCAACCCUGACCGAGCAACGCCGCGUGAGUGAAGAAGGUUUUCGGAUCGUAAAGCUCUGUUGUAAGAGAAGAACGUGUGUGAGAGUGGAAAGUUCACACAGUGACGGUAACUUACCAGAAAGGGACGGCUAACUACGUGCCAGCAGCCGCGGUAAUACGUAGGUCCCGAGCGUUGUCCGGAUUUAUUGGGCGUAAAGCGAGCGCAGGCGGUUUAAUAAGUCUGAAGUUAAAGGCAGUGGCUUAACCAUUGUUCGCUUUGGAAACUGUUAAACUUGAGUGCAGAAGGGGAGAGUGGAAUUCCAUGUGUAGCGGUGAAAUGCGUAGAUAUAUGGAGGAACACCGGUGGCGAAAGCGGCUCUCUGGUCUGUAACUGACGCUGAGGCUCGAAAGCGUGGGGAGCAAACAGGAUUGGAUACCCUGGU